rnacentral:tRNA from 1 species
GCCUUCGUAGUGCAACGGUAGCACACUCGUCGAGUAUUCGAUAGGUCCAGGUUCGUGUCCUGGCGUCGGCA